GACGAACGCUGGCGGCGUGGAUUAGGCAUGCAAGUCGAACGGUAUCAUCCUUUCGGGGGUGAGAGAGUGGCGAACUGGUGAGUAACACGUAGGUUAUCUACCCUCAAGACGGGGACAACCCAGGGAAACUUGGGCUAAUACCGGAUGUGAGCAACUUUUAGUUGUUUGAAAGGUGGCGUAAGCUGUCGCUUGGGGAUGAGCCUGCGUCCUAUUAGUUAGUUGGUGAGGUAACGGCUCACCUAGGCAAUGAUAGGUAGGCGGCCUUAACGGGUGGUCGCCCACACUGAGAUUGAGAUACGGCCCAGACUCCUACGGGAGGCAGCAGUCGAGAAUAGUCUACAAUGGUCGGAAGACUGAUAGUGCGACGCCGCGUGAACGAUGAAUCCCUUCGGGGUGUAAAGUUCUUUUAUAUGUGAGCAGUGCUUCUUAUAUUAACAGUAUGGGGAGAGAGAUAUUAGCAUAUGAAUAAGCAACGGCUAACUCCGUGCCAGCAGCCGCGGUAA
rnacentral:rRNA from 1 species